UGCGUAGGCGGUUUGGUAAGUCUGAUGUGAAAUCUAUGGGCUCAACUCAUAGUCUGCAUCGGAAACUGCCGGGCUUGAGUGUGGGAGAGGUGAGUGGAAUUUCCGGUGUAGCGGUGAAAUGCGUAGAUAUCGGAAGGAACACCUGUGGCGAAAGCGGCUCACUGGACCACAACUGACGCUGAUGCACGAAAGCUAGGGAGCAAACA
rnacentral:rRNA from 1 species